GGGGAGCGAGGGGCGGGGC
rnacentral:miRNA from 1 species